UACGAAGGGGGCUAGCGUUGCUCGGAAUCACUGGGCGUAAAGGGUGCGUAGGCGGGUCUUUAAGUCAGGGGUGAAAUCCUGGAGCUCAACUCCAGAACUGCCUUUGAUACUGGGAAGCUUGAGUCCGGGAGAGGUGAGUGGAACUCCGAGUGUAGAGGUGAAAUUCGUAGAUAUUCGGAAGAACACCGGUGGCGAAGGCGGGUCUCUGGGGACGGUACUGACGCUGAGACGCGAAAGCGUGGGGAGCGAACAGG
rnacentral:rRNA from 1 species